AGACCUGUGGGUGAUCAAUAUGAAGAGACAGAACUGGAUUCCGAGCCUCUGCAGUCAAUACUUGAGAGACAACACUUGAGCAAUGACAAAAGGGUGACUCAGACAGCCUGCACCAGUGGAUGUCCAACAUGAGGAGACAGAACAGGACUCCAACAAGACUGAACACUAAGUUUCAUCACCUAUGCACUGACUCCAGGGACGGACGAGCCUGAAGGACUCAGCUGUGCUGACGGUGUUCUGUCUCUUAUGGGGAAUUAGAAAAAUAAAGCACUGGGUUUUUAUCUAAAGUGUAUCAAAUCAGAUUGUA